rnacentral:rRNA from 1 species
GUUUGAUCAUGGCUCAGAUUGAACGCUGGCGGCAGGCUUAACACAUGCAAGUCGAGCGGGGGAAGGUAGCUUGCUACUGGACCUAGCGGCGGACGGGUGAGUAAUGCUUAGGAAUCUGCCUAUUAGUGGGGGACAACAUCUCGAAAGGGAUGCUAAUACCGCAUACGUCCUACGGGAGAAAGCAGGGGAUCUUCGGACCUUGCGCUAAUAGAUGAGCCUAAGUCGGAUUAGCUAGUUGGUGGGGUAAAGGCCUACCAAGGCGACGAUCUGUAGCGGGUCUGAGAGGAUGAUCCGCCACACUGGGACUGAGACACGGCCCAGACUCCUACGGGAGGCAGCAGUGGGGAAUAUUGGACAAUGGGGGGAACCCUGAUCCAGCCAUGCCGCGUGUGUGAAGAAGGCCUUAUGGUUGUAAAGCACUUUAAGCGAGGAGGAGGCUACUUUAGUUAAUACCUAGAGAUAGUGGACGUUACUCGCAGAAUAAGCACCGGCUAACUCUGUGCCAGCAGCCGCGGUAAUACAGAGGGUGCGAGCGUUAAUCGGAUUUACUGGGCGUAAAGCGUGCGUAGGCGGCUUAUUAAGUCGGAUGUGAAAUCCCCGAGCUUAACUUGGGAAUUGCAUUCGAUACUGGUGAGCUAGAGUAUGGGAGAGGAUGGUAGAAUUCCAGGUGUAGCGGUGAAAUGCGUAGAGAUCUGGAGGAAUACCG